rnacentral:rRNA from 1 species
UGGGGAAUAUUGCGCAAUGGGGGAAACCCUGACGCAGCAACGCCGCGUGAUUGAAGAAGGCCUUCGGGUUGUAAAGAUCUUUAAUUGGGGACGAAAUAAAUGACGGUACCCAAAGAAUAAGCUCCGGCUAACUACGUGCCAGCAGCCGCGGUAAUACGUAGGGUGCAAGCGUUGUCCGGAAUCAUUGGGCGUAAAGCGUUCGUAGGCGGUAUGUCAAGUCUGGUGUUAAAGCCCGAGGCUCAACCUCGGUUCGGCAUUGGAUACUGGCAAACUAGAAUGUGGUAGAGGUAAAGGGAAUUCCUGGUGUAGCGGUGAAAUGCGUAGAUAUCAGGAGGAACAUCGGUGGCGAAAGCGCUUUACUGGACCAUUAUUGACGCUGAGGAACGAAAGCCAGGGGAGCAAAUG